rnacentral:tRNA from 1 species
ACCCUUUUAGUAUAAAAAAUAUAAUUGAUUUCCAAUCAAAAGAUCUUAAUAAUUUAAGAAAAGGUA